rnacentral:sRNA from 1 species
UCCUUUUUUCUUGCACGUCUUACCAUAACCCUCCGUGCACCAUUAGUCCUUAAGUGCAGUAAAUGUGCUUAAGUCCAUAUGUCUACUGCUUCUGCUGUUUCAAAGAAAAAUGCAUUUUCGCUACGGCUUACUUAAGAAAACAACAAGCAAAUAAUUGUUUGCUCUGCAGGAUUUUAACAAUGCGUAUGAAUGUCAUUUACCAAUGCCAUAUACAUCCUUUUCUUCAUCUUUCAUCCACGAAUGUACAAGUCGAGUCGAACCAUUGUCACUAAAUUUAUCAAAUCCUUAAAUCUUCAUUCGUUGAAGCCUUAAGUGCUGUCGCCCGCCGUCCGCCCGUAUGUCCUUAAGACCAUGGAGGAGGAGAACACAACCAGCAUAAAGACGAUGGAAAUCAUGCCCAAUUGCAAGAAGGAGGGCGAUACAAGGUAACCAGUCCUCACAGCGGUGGGGAAAUAAAUAAAUAUCUUUUUGGUAAAUAAACAGUUUUAUCAAUAAACGAAGUAAUUCGUUUAUA